AUGUUCAACACAAGUCAAGGUCUAUGUAUUUUAUGUGCGAAUACCAUUUUUGACAGUGAAAUCUUUACCGUCGGCUCCAGAGACACAUCCAGACUUGAUGUCCCUCAGGGUUUAACUAGACAAGGACUGACAACUUCACGCAGGAAAAAUGAAAUGGUGUCUAUCUGCUGUUUAAACAACCAUACAUCACAUCAUGACAGUUAUUUAUUACCACAGUCUACAGAGGAGAAGAUGAGAUUUGUAUUUCCCCAUAAAUGGAUGCGGUGGAUCAGGAGUGUAAUCAGGAGCUGGAUUUCUUAGCAUGAGGUGUGAACACAGACAAGAAGGGACACCACGGCGUAGUCUGUCGUCCUGCUGCCAUGUUUAUUGGAGUAGAAGAACAUGCAGAACUGCACACUGUCAGUAAACUGAGCUCAGGAUCAGAUUUGAAGCUGUAGAGCUGUAACAAAGUAACACCAACACUGUGAAAAUCUGUAUUUUAAAAUAUAUAUUCUUAAUAUAAAUAACACUUUAAUUUAAAAUGAUUUCUCUGUUUUGAAAAGCCACUUCAUCAGAUCACAGUCAAUGAAAACUGGAAGGUCAAGA